UUUCGGGCUUAGUCGCGCACUUUCCCCAGCGAACUUGAACGAAGUGUUGUGCACUUGCUGCUCAACAUUUUGUUCCGUUACUUUGAGCAAAUUGGAGGGCUCCAACCAGGCUUUAGCUUGAACAGCUCAGCAUGGAAUAACAAGAUAGGACUUUGGUUCUUCUUGUUGGUGUCAUGAACCAAAAGUAAUGGUUGAUAAGGACAUACGGGGGCAUUUGUACUUGCUGGAGAGAGGUGAAAUUCUAAGACCCAGCAAAGACAAACAACUGCGAAAGCAUUUGCCCAGUGUGUACCUGUUAAUCAAGGACGAAAGUUGGGGGAUCGAAGACGAUUAGAUACCGUCGUAGUCCCAACUAUAAACUAUGCCGACUGAGGAUCGGAGGUGGAAGAUAAACGACUCCUUCGGCACUCCAAGAGAAAUCUAAGUCUCUGGGCCCUGGGGGGAGUAUGGUCGCAAGGCUGAAACUUAAAGGAAUUGACGGAAGGGCACCACCAGGAGUGGAGCCUGCGGCUUAAUUUGAUUCAACGCGGGGAACCUCACCAGGCCCGGACAUAGUCAUGAUUGACAGAUUGACAGAUUGAGAGUUCUUUCUCGAUUCUAUGGGUGGUGGUGCAUGGCCGUUCUUAGUCGGUGAGGUGACUUGUCUGGUUAAUUCCGAUAACGGACGAGACCUCGACCUGCUAACUAGCAAACGUUUACACAUAGUAAGCGUUUGGCUUCUUAGAGGGACUUUGU
rnacentral:rRNA from 1 species